rnacentral:lncRNA from 1 species
UUUUUUGAUAUGGCUUGACUUCAUAUGUAUUUUCUUGUAAUUUUUUCAAUAAAUAACAUAUCUUGGUUGGGGAUUCAAAUUACAGUUUAAAUAGAGUUUUUGUGCAAAUAGGAAGGAAAGAAAGUUUGCCCAAGGAAUGCAAAAUGAGGAUAGUUUAGACAUUUAGCAUGAACCAUCCCGUUUUCACUUCGCACAUGUAUGUAUAUCUUCUGGAUCUUUCUUUCACUUGUUGCAGUUUUAAUUUAAAGUCAAAAUCACAAAUUCAUCUUCUGCUAAUUGCUUCUCUAUAAUCUCUCAACUUGGGAAAUUUUAGUCUCUGUAUUCGAUCUCUAGCUUUUGUAGUAGAGGAAUCGCAGCGUCUCAUCUCAUCCCCGUUCUUCUCAGAGAAACUGCUGAACUGGGGGUAAAGGGAAUAAGGUAUGUCUAUUACAGUAUUUUUUUUAUUGAAUUCAAAGGCUCAAGGCAUGAAUGUGAAGUUUCCUAGAUUAACUGUGAUGAUUCAGUGAAUUAGUAUCUGAUUUUCAAAAUAAGACCUUCAAAUUACGUUUGGCGAGAUUGCAAGAAAUUGAAGGAGAAUAAACCCGAGAUAAUUUUAAUCGAUUUUUUUUUUAAACGGGGGAAGGGAGAAUCAAAUCCUUACUAACAAGGUGAAAGCUCAGGUAGCCAACCGACAUAGCUACUGGCAAGUGCAUCUAACUGUAACAUUUGUGUUGUAUUUCUAUAUUUUACGCAUGGCUCUUAAACUUUACUCUCUUAUGCCUUAAUAUUCUGCUACACUGUGCAACACUUGAAUAGAGGAGCAGCUAUUUGGUUAUUAUUUUGUGUGGCGAGGCAAUGUCUAUGUUUAUUUCACGAGAUUCUGAUGUUAAGUCAGAAUAGAGUUUUUGUUCUUCUGUUGUUCCUAAAUAUCAAAGAUUUAUUUAUAAUAUGUUAUAAAAUAGAAGUCUAUUUAGAGUGAAUGUCUAAGAGUUUUAGCUUGAAGCU